CCUACGGGGGGCUGCAGUGGGCAAUAUUGGACAAUGGGGGAAACCCUGAUCCAGCAAUGCCGCGUGUGUGAAGAAGGCCUGCGGGUUGUAAAGCACUUUCGGUUGGGAAGAAAAGUUUGGCGCCAAUACCGCCGAACCUUGACGUUACUGACAGAAGAAGCCCCGGCUAACUCUGUGCCAGCAGCCGCGGUAAUACAGAGGGUGCAACGGUGAAUCGGAAUCGCGUGGCGUAACAUGUGCGUCGGGUGUCAAAUCCCCGGGCUUAACCUGGGAACGGCAUUCGAUACUACAUGGCUAGAGUAUGGUAGAGGGAAGUGGAAUGUCCGGUGUAGCGGUGAAAUGCGUAGAUAUCGGAAGGAACACCAAUGGCGAAGGCAGCUUCCUGGACUAAUACUGACACUGAGGCACGAAAGCGUGGGUAGCAAACAGGAUUAGAUACCCUUGUAGUC
rnacentral:rRNA from 1 species